GACGAACCGUGCGAACGUUGUUCGGAAUCACUGGGCUUAAAGGGCGCGUAGGCGGCUUGCCAAGUCAGGGGUGAAAUCUUUCGGCUUAACCGGAAAAGUGCCUUUGAUACUGGCAGGCUAGAGGGAGGUAGGGGCAUGCGGAACUUCCGGUGUAGCGGUGGAAUGCGUAGAGAUCCGGAAGAACACCGGUGGCGAAGGCGGCCUGCUGGGCGGCGACUGACGCUGAGGCGCGACAGCGUGGGGAGCAAACAGG
rnacentral:rRNA from 1 species